rnacentral:rRNA from 1 species
UACGGAGGAUCCAAGCGUUAUCCGGAAUCAUUGGGUUUAAAGGGUCCGUAGGCGGCCUAGUAAGUCAGUGGUGAAAUCUCCCCGCUCAACGGGGAAACGGCCAUUGAUACUGCUAGGCUUGAAUUAUUAGGAAGUAACUAGAAUAUGUAGUGUAGCGGUGAAAUGCUUAGAUAUUACAUGGAAUACCAAUUGCGAAGGCAGGUUACUACUAAUUGAUUGACGCUGAUGGACGAAAGCGUGGGGAGCGAACAGG